rnacentral:misc_RNA from 1 species
UGCUUCGCUUAGAUACGAGCCUAUUAGGCAAAUUUUGUGGCGAGCACGCUCGCCGACUGCAAAUAUCGCUCGGUCAGCGCCGAGCAGGAUACCACUUCCGUCGUGGCGCGGCCGGGUGGUCGGCGCUUAACGCGGCCGACACGUUGCGCGCCUCCUUCUUCUCGCAAAUUUUCGAAACGCGUUACAAGUCGCAGGAAACGUAGCCUGGCCGUCACCAGACCCUUGAUAACAGAGAGCGGACACGGGCCGAAUCGCCAAUGGGACAGCCUGGGCCCGUUGCGUCUACUAUCUUGUCCAACGAUACCCGACAAAUUUCGUGGCUGUCAUUCGGGAUAACAUCGAAAGGAAUCAGGGCACUGUGACUGGAUCGGUCGUCCCUGGAGUAUCGCGUCUACCGGGCUAGUGGCUCACGCACCGUAGCACAGAGAGGCAACACAGCCGUCUUGGUUGCACCCUGAAAUAAGGAAAGCAGCAAAGGAUUGUGAGUCCUAGGGAGAUCCGACCACCCACGUGGAGACGGGGCUUUACACUUUACAGCCUGCUGGAGUGUCCGGAUACGGGAUAUUUUUGGUAACUUUAAACCACAAAAUGUAGCACAAGAUU